ensembl:rRNA 5S_rRNA 5S ribosomal RNA
GUCUAUGGCCAUACCACCCUGAACACACCUGACCUCGUCUGAUCUCAGAAGCUAAGUAGGGUUGUGCUUCGUUAGUACUUGGAUGGGAGACCACCUGGGAAUACCGGGUACUGUAGGGG